GGAGGUAAAAGUCGUAACAAGGUUUCCGUAGGUGAACCUGCGGAAGGAUCAUUAUCAUAACAUCCACGUUAAACCAUUGUGAACUGUACUUUGCUACUGCGAAGGGAUUGAUUGUGCUGCUUUGAUUUCGAUCGGGUAGUCUUUCUUUUCAUUAGCUUUAGCGGUGUUCUCAUACACCAUUGAAACCAAUCAUUGAACUUUGUACUAACCAUUUCAUACUCUUGGCUAAUAACCUUGAGAUGAGAUAAAUACGAAACAUAAGAACAACUCUUAGCAACGGAUAUCUUGGCUCUC
rnacentral:misc_RNA from 1 species